rnacentral:rRNA from 1 species
AUGGUCACCCUCUCUGGUGCACAUACCAUCGGAAUCUCCCAUUGCUCGUCCUUCUCCUCAUCGUUCUCCGACCGCCUCAACCCAAGCACCUCCGACAUGGACCCCACGCUAAUGAGCUCUCUCCGGGAGCAAUGCAAGUCAGACACAGGAAAUGACAACACGGUGGUGCAGGACAUCAAGACCCCUAACAAGGUCGACAACAAGUACUACAAGAAUGUCCUUAGCCAUGAGGUGCUCUUCAAUUCAAAUGCUGCGCUGAUGACAGCAGAUGAUACAAGUGCAGCGGUGCGUGCCAGUGCCGAUGACAACGGUGUGUGGGAGGAGAAGUUCAAAGCAGCGAUGGUAAGGAUGGCUGCUAUCGAGGUCAAGAAUAGUGUCAAUGGUGAGAUCAGAAGGACAUGUGGAUUUUGA